ACCAUGGAAACCCCAGCGCAGCUUCUCUUCCUCCUGCUACUCUGGCUCCCAGAUACCACCGGAGAAAUUGUGUUGACGCAGUCUCCAGGCACCCUGUCUUUGUCUCCAGGGGAAAGAGCCACCCUCUCCUGCAGGGCCAGUCAGAGUGUUAGCAGCAGCUACUUAGCCUGGUACCAGCAGAAACCUGGCCAGGCUCCCAGGCUCCUCAUCUAUGGUGCAUCCAGCAGGGCCACUGGCAUCCCAGACAGGUUCAGUGGCAGUGGGUCUGGGACAGACUUCACUCUCACCAUCAGCAGACUGGAGCCUGAAGAUUUUGCAGUGUAUUACUGUCAGCAGUAUGAUAUCUUUCAGCACCCUGGUUAACUGUAUUCCUAAGUACUUUAUUUUCUGAACUGUGGCUGCACCAUCUGUCUUCAUCUUCCCGCCAUCUGAUGAGCAGUUGAAAUCUGGAACUGCCUCUGUUGUGUGCCUGCUGAAUAACUUCUAUCCCAGAGAGGCCAAAGUACAGUGGAAGGUGGAUAACGCCCUCCAAUCGGGUAACUCCCAGGAGAGUGUCACAGAGCAGGACAGCAAGGACAGCACCUACAGCCUCAGCAGCACCCUGACGCUGAGCAAAGCAGACUACGAGAAACACAAAGUCUACGCCUGCGAAGUCACCCAUCAGGGCCUGAGCUCGCCCGUCACAAAGAGCUUCAACAGGGGAGAGUGUUAGAGGGAGAAGUGCCCCCACCUGCUCCUCAGUUCCAGCCUGACCCCCUCCCAUCCUUUGGCCUCUGACCCUUUUUCCACAGGGGACCUACCCCUAUUGCGGUCCUCCAGCUCAUCUUUCACCUCACCCCCCUCCUCCUCCUUGGCUUUAAUUAUGCUAAUGUUGGAGGAGAAUGAAUAAAUAAAGUGAAUCUUUGC
rnacentral:lncRNA from 1 species